CUCCCGCCCUCCGGAGGAAGCCGCGCAAUCACUCUGGGGGCGGGGAGAGAAAGACAGCUGAAAGGAAGGAGGUACCACCAGGCACUCUCUCGCGAGAGGGCCAAGGAGCCGCCUUAAACGGGGGCGUGUGCCUGAGAAACUAAAACAUGGACUGGAAAAUUCUGUUUGUGAGAUUAUUUUCUAUGAAGAUUGAUUAUCCCAGAUACUAUUGGAGGGCCUUGGAAUAUAUUCCUCUAAUUUACUCUACCUAUCCCAUUUAAAGAAGCUGAAGAUUUAGGACAAAAACCAGUUGAAGAAUUCAAAGCUCUGGAUAAUCAGGCUGAUUUUGAUGAUGGAAAUUAUCUACCUUGUGCUAAUCAAGUCAAGGGCAUAUAUGAAGUGUUCAUAAUACAUUUCCAGGGAAUUCUAAAUAACACAAGACUUAACUUCACUAAUAGCUCUAUGAGCAAAACAGUAAGAUCCAGGAACACACCAGACAGUUUUGUUUGCCUUGAAACAAAAAACCUGGGUUCAAGUUCCUGCUCUAACAUCGACAGGUCUGUAACCUGAACACCUAACGCAGCGCUCGCACUACCACCAGCUGGGUGCCCUCAGCAAGUCAUUUAACAUCUCUGAGACAUGUAUCUUCAUCCGUAAAGAAGGGAUUAUACAUACAUAUAGUUUUGGCAGUGGAUUCAACAAAGUUUAGAUGAUCACUGGAUGGCAUCAAGAGACUGCCUGUAACUUAAAGUGGGGCAUGAGCUAGAACAGUAAGACUACCUUCCAUCUGACAGAUGCUACACAUGGCAACUGGAAUAUUCCUAGAAAUUGUGCAGGAGAGAGAAUUCCCUGUAUUACCACCUACCUGAAACCAGUCCCCACUUUUCUGGCCUCCUCUUAAAAUCACAGCUUUCAUUUCACAGCUCUAACAGCAACACACCAUGGAGUACAAACAUCACUGGAAAACAAGGGCCUGAUAAAACCCACAGAAAAGCUAUUCACUAAUAUUGGGACUACUUUUAGCCAUGCUAUUAUAGAUCACAAUUUAUUUUUGUGCAUAAUAAAUAUAGGAAAAUGUUGAAAAUGUAGGACUCAACUAUCUAAUUAAAGCUGAGUAAACUAACCUAGUCAGAAUUUAUUUUUUAAAUGAGAAAUGACAAGAGUAGUAAAUAUAAAGAAAAACAAAAAUAGCUUUACUUUCCUAUGUUAAUACAGGUCAAGGGACCCUUUCUUCUGAAAAGGGUUGAUAACACCAGUUCUCAGCAAUAAACAUAAGGCACUUGUUUAGAAUACAACAUCACUGCAUUUUUUCCCCACUUGUUUUUCUAACCCUGUUUUCCCCCACAGUAUCAUUUGGAAUU